UAAAUUUUGACAGAUAAUAUACUAUCUAAAAAAAUGUUAAGCUUAUUAUUGUCAUUUUAUUAGGCUAAGAGAGGUAAGUGUGAUAUUGAAAACUUUAAAAAUAUUGUAUGAAAUGAUUAAAAAUGUCCAGGGAGGUUUCUGAAAUUACCUCAAAGUUAUAAUAACAAACUUUUGAUUGGAUGUUUGGAUUGUGCACGGAACUCUUUUUCACGAAUAUAUUUCUCAAUCAUUUUUUUACUUCACACAGUAUCAAAUUAUUACGAUAUAUUUUUUCUACAAACACUCUUAAAAAUAGCAGUUCAAAUAAAAACUCUAAAAAAUAAUAAUGCAAAACUCUUAUAAUAAUAAUCCAAACAGAUCAGCAUAACCUUAAAUUGGAAAUCCUAAGAUAUCCGCGAAAUCGUAAAUCCCUCGUGUUAUUUUUCUACCCUAUCAACCAAAGCCCAAACUCGAUGGCAACGCAGAUUGCAGAGUUUCGAUAAAUGGGCUGCUGUCAAAAUUGCCGAGCCAAUCAAACUGGAGUUAAGAAUCCAAUAAAACAUCUUUAGAGUGGUUUCUUGAGUGAAAAAAAAACAUAUGCGGAAGUAUCUGGGGAAGGUGAGGUGAAGGUGGUGGUGACAUUCACGAUCAGUUUUGUAGAAUUUUGCAGAGGCAACUUCGUUCUUUUUUUUUUUGGUUUUCAUAUUUCUUCAUUUUCCCUUCAUAUUGGAUAUCUAUUUAUCAUGCCACGCACACAUCCUUUUUUUUUUUUCAAACCACCAAAUGCCGCACCAUUAUCCAUUGUAAUCCACUAAAAAAAAAAAAAAAAAAAAGCCCAAAACCAAUUUAGAUAGUUCGGAUGUGUACAAAACCUAGAACAACAGGGGAGAGGAGUUGAGUGGCGCUGGUGCCGGAUCCAGAGAAGUCGUCGAAGGUGGGGUUUGACCUUGAGGAACUUGCCGCAGCAUCCCAAGGGAGGCGCUCAUGGCUUCUUGCAUUUGGAGCUGGUAGGCGACUGCGUGGUCCGACUCAACGGUUUCCGCCGCCGCGAGUUCACGGCAUUGAUCGGUGACGGCGAGUAGUGUUGUGCGAUCUUCAUCAACUUCCGUAGUUGUUUUGGCGCCAAGAUUGAACUCUGUGACGUCAGGCGACACAGAGAAAAGAUCAGAUUAAACAAGUGGGAACCAGCAUCAUCUUAGUGUCAGCAUCCUAGUGUCAAAAAAGGAUUAGCAAGAAACAUCACGAGGCUUGGAAUAAGUACUUACCUCGUUCUUGGUUUCACAGAAGCAAGGAAAUCAAGGACAAUUACUCAACUGUGGCCUUUGAGUUGGGAAGCAGAAAUUGGUGAAAAGGGGAGCAGAAUAUCUCAGUAUAAAUAAGGCUAUAAAUUGGCAGGGUGUAAGGUUUUAUGUGUAGACCACGAGAGAUAAAAAGAUAGAUGUGGAAAGAUGACUGAGCACUAUCAUUAGAUGAGAAACUAAAUACUAACAGCCAAUGACACGGUCUCUCCAAUCUAAAACUGCCUCUGUGAUUCUCCAUCUUAUUGAAGUACGUUCAGUCAAUCAUUUUGCCAUAAGCAACAAUCUGCUGGAAUAGACUUCGACUGAGAUUGACUAAGUCAUAUGGCACCUGUAGUUAGUAUGAAUUGUUAUUAUAUCUGAUCUGGCCUGCAGUCUGUUAUACUCUACUUGGCCGUGGGGGAUGUCUAUGUAAUGCAAUGACAACAACAUAGAAGCAGGUCGGCGGCCAGUUAUAGCUUAGAAACAAAAUCUCUUAUCAUAUCAAUUUGAGUUAUUUCCG